rnacentral:rRNA from 1 species
AACGGUUGGAAACGACCGCUAAUACCCCAUAUGCCGAGAGGUGAAAUGAAUUUCGCCUGAGGAUGAGCCCGCGUCUGAUUAGCUAGUUGGUGUGGUAAUGGCGCACCAAGGCUUCGAUCAGUAGCUGGUCUGAGAGGAUGAUCAGCCACACUGGGACUGAGACACGGCCCAGACUCCUACGGGAGGCAGCAGUGGGGAAUUUUCCGCAAUGGGCGAAAGCCUGACGGAGCAACGCCGCGUGAGGGAUGAAGGCCUCUGGGCUGUAAACCUCUUUUAUCAAGGAAGAAGAUCUGACGGUACUUGAUGAAUAAGCCACGGCUAAUUCCGUGCCAGCAGCCGCGGUAAUACGGGAGUGGCCAACGUUAUCCGGAAUUAUUGGGCGUAAAGCGUCCGCAGGCGGCCUUGAAAGUCUGUCGUUAAAGCGUGGAGCUUAACUCCAUUUCGGCGAUGGAAACUACAAGGCUAGAGUGUGGUAGGGGCAGAGGGAAUACCCGGUGUAGCGGUGAAAUGCGUAGAUAUCGGGAAGAACACCAGUGGCGAAGGCGCUCUGCUGGGCCAUAACUGACGUCA